UGCAACUGCACUGAUUUUUCAUCUGAGAGUUGUUGACAGUUUUAUUGCAUUUUAUCACUUUUUAACUAAAUGGAUCAUUAAUUUAUGAAAGAGGACAAAGAGGGUCUUGAUCCCUGUGAUUUAGUGCCAUUACUAGCAGAGAAUACUCGAUAGUGAUUCUGUUAGUGAGUUUGAUGGAUGUUAAUGACUGAUGGAUAAACCACUGAAACGGAAUGCUUUCUUCCAUAUCAUGAUGUUGCAUCCAGAACUGGGAUGGCUGAGGACAAGUCCACAUAGACCUCCGAUCCAGAAACGCCCAUUAAACUAAUGGCAACUAGAGCGAAAUUGGAAACUCCAGAAAAUCCAUUGGGCAACAGAAAACGGCGUCUGGAAAAAUUAGGAAUUAAACUACUGUGUCUGAAAUUAAGUGCAUGAGUUCCAGUGGCCCCUAUUAUCAGUCAAGUGGAACCAUUUGAACAAAACUGAGAGAGGAUGCAAGAGACCAAGUGAAUCCAUUAAGCUGGUCACAAGAAGAAGUCGUUUAACAAGAGCUGUCACAGGAGACAGCACGCUCGACUAUUUCGAAGCUGGAGAGUGAAAUUGGGCACAUCAGGAAGCUGGAGCUCUCACUGUAGUGUAAUGAGGAGCAACUAUUUGAAGUUUGAAUCAAAACAAGUGAGAGUAGUAGUGUAUCACAACAAGGAACCUGAAAUUCUAGUAAAAGGGGGCAUAAUUCAUAGCAUUUUGGUGCCAGCAUCAUGAACAUUGUGUCAUAUGAUUUUGGUGACCAUGUGGACCUGCCGUUUAAAGUUUAUUUAAAAUCCAUUUAGUAACAACAGAGAUACAGUGAAAAAGUAUCAAAAUUAAACUGAAAUUCUAAGUAAUAAAGGGUAAUAAGUCACUAAAUAUUUGUGCCAGAAUUAUGGACCUUGUGUCAUGAUGAGGACGACGAUGUGGAAGAACUAUUUUAAGUUUGAAUCAAAUUCAUCAAGUAAUAACACAGAUAGAGUGAAAGUGUACUAACAUUAACCUGAAAUUCUAAGUAAAAAGGGGGCAUAAUUUAAGAAAUAUUGGUGCCAGGGUUAUGGUCUUUGUGUCAUAAUGAUGUGGGUGAUGAGGUGCUACAACUAUUUUAAGUUUGAAUCAAAUCCCUUUGGUAAUAACAGAUAGAGUGAAAGUGCAUCAAAACUUUAACCUGGAAUUUUAUGUAAAAAGAGGGCAUAAUUCAUGAAAUAUUGGUGCCAGAGUUAUGAACCUUUUGUCAUAUCAUGUGGGUGAUGAUGUGGAACAAAUAUUUUAAGUUUGAAUCAAACCCAUAUAGUAAUAAUUGGGAUAGCGUGAAAGUGCACCAACACUUUAACCUGAAAUUCUAUGUAAAAAGGUGGAAUAAUUAAUAAAAUAUUGGUGUGAGAGUUAUGGCCCUUAUGCCAGAUGAUGUGGGUGAUGAUGAGGAAUUGAAGCAAAACCAUCCAGUAAUUACAGAGAUAAGGAGAAAAAAGAGGAAGUGCAUCAAAACUUUAACCAAGGUGUGGAUGCAGGAAGAUGCCAACACUGGGCCGAGUAGGAUAACUCUCCAUAUACUCUGUAUAGUCGAGCUAAAAAUAAAAAAAGCUAAUGCCAGACCACUGAUGAUAUUUGAUGGAUACAGCCCCUCACGAUAGCUCAUCUUGAACCUUUGGUUCAGGUAAGCUAAAGAUCAUCUCCAAAACUGAGUGAAAGAUUCAGGUGAGCUA